CGAACGGGUGAGUAAUACAUCGGAACGUGCCCAGUAGUGGGGGAUAACCCGGCGAAAGCCGGACUAAUACCGCAUACGACCUACGGGUGAAAGCAGGGGAUCGUAAGACCUUGCGCUAUCGGAGCGGCCGAUGUCAGAUUAGCUUGUUGGUGGGGUAAAAGCCUACCAAGGCGACGAUCUGUAGCUGGUCUGAGAGGACGACCAGCCACACUGGGACUGAGACACGGCCCAG
rnacentral:rRNA from 1 species